AUUGAACGCUGGCGGCAUGCCUUACACAUGCAAGUCGAACGGUAACAGGUUAAGCUGACGAGUGGCGAACGGGUGUGUAAUGUAUCGGAACGUGCCCAGUCGUGGGGGAUAACUGCUCGAAAGAGCAGCUAAUACCGCAUACGAUCUACGGAUGAAAGCGGGGGAUCGCAAGACCUCGCGCGAUUUGAGCGGCCGAUAUCUGAUUAGCUGGUUGGUGGGGAAAAGGCCCACCAAGGCGACGAUCAGUAGCUGGUCUGAGAGGACGACCAGCCACAGUGGGACUGGGACACGGCCCAGAGUCGUACGGGAGGGAGCAGUGGGGAAUUUUGGACAAUGGGGGCAACCCUGAUCCAGCCAUGCCGCGAGCAGGAAGAAGGCAUUCGGGUUGUAAACUGCUUUUGUCAGGGAAGAAAGCCUUUGGGCUAAUACCCUGAGGGGAUGACGGUACCUGAAGAAUAAGCACCGGCUAACUACGUGCCAGCAGCCGCAGUAA
rnacentral:rRNA from 1 species